rnacentral:rRNA from 1 species
GUGGGGAAUCUUCCGCAAUGGACGAAAGUCUGACGGAGCAACGCCGCGUGAGUGAUGAAGGUCUUCGGAUUGUAAAGCUCUGUUAAUCGGGACGAAAGAGCCUAGUGUGAAUAAUGCUAGGAAGUGACGGUACCGGAAUAGAAAGCCACGGCUAACUACGUGCCAGCAGCCGCGGUAAUACGUAGGUGGCAAGCGUUGUCCGGAAUUAUUGGGCGUAAAGCGCGCGCAGGCGGAUCUGCCAGUCUGUCUUAAAAGUUCGGGGCUUAACCCCGUGAUGGGAUGGAAACUACAGAUCUAGAGUAUCGGAGAGGAAAGUGGAAUUCCUAGUGUAGCGGUGAAAUGCGUAGAUAUUAGGAAGAACACCAGUGGCGAAGGCGGCCUGCUGGACAUUAACUGACGCUGAGGCGCGAAAGCGUGGGGAGCAAACAGGAUUAGAUACCCCAGUAGUCC